AUGAAUUGGUGUGCAGAUGCAUUAACAGCUGAAGCCUUGGCUCUGAGAUAUGGCUUAUUACUUGCACAGAAGACGGGAUGCAACUGUAUCAUCGUUAACUCCGACAAUAUGGAAGUAAUUGACAUAAUGAAGAAUGGAGGAUAUUCAGCGGGAGCGGCAGCGACAGUGUUUGAUGAUUGUUAUUUUAUGGCGUGCGAUUUUACGCUUAUUAGAUUUGAACAUUGUAAUAGGGAAGCAAAUAAAGUAGCCGACGAACUUGCUAGGUUAGCUAAAUUUUCUAAGACUAGGGACUGGUUUGAGGAGCCUAUGAAUGAAAUUGUAAAUCUACUUACUACCGAUGUAACUGUUAUUUCUAAUAAAUAA
rnacentral:rRNA from 1 species